GUAGAUAACGCACAAACUGGUAAAGCUUCUGUUGCCACAAUCUGUGCAGCACUUGGAGGAAUUGCUGUUGUUAUUGCAGCAAUUUUAGUAAUUUUGUUUAUUUGCCGACAAAGAAGCAAAGCAGCCAAAUCGCCAUCACGAAGUCAUUAUGAAAUGACAGUUAAAACGGAUGCCGACUAGUCAAAUUGUUAUAGCGAAAUCAACGUAUCACAAAUAACCAACGGCGACGACGCCGCGCUGUCCAGAUCCAACAGCUGCAUUACGACUGUGGUCACUGAUGGCAAUUAUUAUGAGAGUGUGUCUCCUUAUGAGUUUGUCGAGUGAAAAUGCUUUAAAGAGGGAUUGACCUUCG